CCUACGGGAGGCACCAGUGGGGAAUAUUGCACAAUGGGCGCAAGCCUGAUGCAGCCAUGCCGCGUGUAUGAAGAGGGCCUUCGGGUUGUAAAGUGCUUUCAGCGAGGAGGAAGGUGUUGAGGUUAAUAACCUCAGCAAUUGACGUUACCCGCAGAAGAAGCACCGGCUAACUCCGUGCCAGCAGCCGCGGUAAUACGGAGGGUGCAAGCGUUAAUCGGAAUUACUGGGCGUAAAGCGCACGCAGGCGGUCUGUCAAGUCGGAUGUGAAAUCCCCGGGCUCAACCUGGGAACUGCAUUCGAAGCUGGCAGGCUAGAGUCUUGUAGAGGGGGGUAGGAUUCCAGGUGUAGCGGUGAAAUGCGUAGAGAUCUGGAGGAAUACCGGUGGCGAAGGCGGCCCCCUGGACAAAGACUGACGCUCAGGUGCGAAAGCGUGGGGAGCAAACAGGAUUAGAUACCCGGGUAGUC
rnacentral:rRNA from 1 species